GCAGGACCUGUUAGGUCAUCAUUUUGUUCUGUUGAUGAACAAGUCAGUGUAGCAUAUUCAGACUUGAUUACUUCAUCCAAGAAGACUCUAAAUUCUCUCUUACAACUGCAGGAGGCUUUGCUGGAGAAUAAUCCAUCUAUCGAUCAAUCCUCAAAUGGACGAUCGUCUAAGAAUAAUUUAUAGACAACCAAAUUAAAUGAUGAGAGUGAUGAAGAAUGGUCAUGGAUUUCUCAUAUGCAUAGGAGG